rnacentral:rRNA from 1 species
GUGGCUAACCUACCCCGGGGACGGGCAUAGCCUUCCUAACGGAAGGGUAAUUCCCGGCGAUGUGAUGAGGGGGCAUCUCCUUAUCAUGAAACGAGUUUCGCCUCGGGAGGGGGUCACGUGCUAUUACCUAGUUGGCGGGGUAACGGCCCACCAAGGGAAAGAUGGCUAGCGGGUGUGAGAGCACGACCCGCGCCACUGGCACUGAGACACUGGCCAGACUCCUACGGGAGGCUGCAGUCGAGGAUCUUCGGCAAUGGGCGCAAGCCUGACCGAGCGACGCCGCGUGUGCGACGAAGGCCUUCGGGUUGUAAAGCACUGUCGAGGGGGAGGAACGCCCGCAAGGGUCUGACCUAUCCCUGGAGGAAGCACGGGCUAAGUUCGUGCCAGCAGCCGCGGUAAGACGAACCGUGCGAACGUUGUUCGGAUUCACUGGGCUUAAAGGGCGCGUAGGCGGCUUGCCAAGUCAGGGGUGAAAUCCUUCGGCUCAACCGGAGAAGUGCUUCUGAUACUGGCGGGCUG